rnacentral:lncRNA from 1 species
GAGUUACAAGCUUCAAGAUUAAAAUGUAUAAAAGAAAACUCCUUCGAUCUAGGAUUGAGUUGCUCAAGCCCUCAAUUGGCAUUGUUCAAGUUAUGUCAAGGCAAUCAAGCCAAAGCUCAAGUCACACCAAUACCUAAUUCACGCCAAAGUCCAAGUCAAGCCAAAAUCCAAAUCACACCAAGGUCCAAGUCAAGACAAGGUGCAAAUCAUGCCAAGACUCAAGUCAAGUCAACUCUCAAAAUUAAAUCAAGUUAAG